GAUGAACGCUGGCGGCGUGCUUAACACAUGCAAGUCGAACGGAAAGGCCCAAGCUUGCUUGGGUACUCGAGUGGCGAACGGGUGAGUAACACGUGGGUGAUCUGCCCUGCACUUCGGGAUAAGCCUGGGAAACUGGGUCUAAUACUGGAUAGGACCACUUCUUGGAUGGUGUGGUGGAGAGUUUUUUCGGUGUGGGAUGAGCUCGCGGCCUAUCAGCUUGUUGGUGGGGUAAUGGCCUACCAAGGCGUCGACGGGUAGCCGGCCUGAGAGGGUGUACGGCCACAUUGGGACUGAGAUACGGCCCAGACUCCUACGGGAGGCAGCAGUGGGGAAUAUUGCACAAUGGGCGCAAGCCUGAUGCAGCGACGCCGCGUGGGGGAUGACGGCCUUCGGGUUGUAAACUCCUUUCGCUAGGGACGAAGCGUUUUUGUGACGGUACCUGGAGAAGAAGCACCGGCUAACUACGUG
rnacentral:rRNA from 1 species